rnacentral:tRNA from 1 species
CAGGUGCUGGAUGCCGGCGUAGACGCCGGUCUGGCUGCCGCCCGGAUGCGGGUUGCCGGUCGACACGGCGGUGCCUGC